rnacentral:rRNA from 1 species
UACAUAGGGGGGCUAGCGUUGUCCGGAAUCAUUGGGCGUAAAGAGCGUGUAGGCGGUCCGGUAAGUCCGCUGUGAAAGUCGGGGGGCUCAACCCUCGAAUGCCGGUGGAUACUGUCGGGCUAGAGUGCGGAAGAGGCGAGUGGAAUUCCUGGUGUAGCGGUGAAAUGCGCAGAUAUCAGGAGGAACACCUAUUGCGAAGGCAGCUCACUGGGAACGGUAACUGACGCUGGAGACGCGAAAGCGUGGGGAGCAAACAGG